GGAGGAGCGGGAGGCUAGGCUACUGAGGGGAGUGAAGUUUGAGGUCAUGGUUGAGACACCCAGGGUUCAGAGGAGUCCCAUCCCAGAGACAGAGCCUCUUUGGCGGGUAGAGAGUACAAGACACCUCCCUGGAGAUCCACUUCACGGACAGGCUGCACAUCAGGAGGUUGGGAGGCCUACGUUUACAUACCCUGAUGACAGGUACAGUAUCUCUCUGACCCUCUAGAGCAGGUCUGUCAAACUCCUUCCAUGGAGGGUCUAACGACAGGUACAUUAUCUCUCUGACCCUCUAGAGCAGGUCUGUCAAACUCCUUCCAUGGAGGGUCUGGCGACAGGUACAUUAUCUCUCUGACCCUCUAGAGCAGGUCUGUCAAACUCCUUCCAUGGAGGGUCUGGCGACAGGUACAUUAUCUCUCUGACCCUCUAGAGCAGGUCUGUCAAACUCCUUCCAUGGAGGGUCUGGCGACAGGUACAUUAUCUCUCUGACCCUCUAGAGCAGGUCUGUCAAACUCCUUCCAUGGAGGGUCUAACGACAGGUACAGUAUCUCUCUGACCCUCUAGAGCAGGUCUGUCAAACUCCUUCCAUGGAGGGUCUAACGACAGGUACAUUAUCUCUCUGACCCUCUAGAGCAGGUCUGUCAAACUCCUUCCAUGGAGGGUCUAACGACAGGUACAUUAUCUCUCUGACCCUCUAGAGCAGGUCUGUCAAACUCCUUCCAUGGAGGGUCUAACGACAGGUACAGUAUCUCUCUGACCCUCUAGAGCAGGUCUGUCAAACUCCUUCCAUGGAGGGUCUGAUGACAGGUACAGUAUCUCUCUGACCCUCUAGAGCAGAACUCCUUCCAUGGAGGGUCUGAUGACAGGUACAGUAUCUCUCUGACCCUCUAGAGCAGGUCUGUCAAACUCCUUCCAUGGAGGGUCUGAUGACAGGUACAGUAUCUCUCUGACCCUCUAGAGCAGAACUCCUUCCAUGGAGGGUCUGAUGACAGGUACAGUAUCUCUCUGACCCUCUAGAGCAGGUCUGUCAAACUCCUUCCAUGGAGGGUCUGAUGACAGGUACAGUAUCUCUCUGACCCUCUAGAGCAGGUCUGUCAAACUCCUUCCAUGGAGGGUCUAACGACAGGUACAGUAUCUCUCUGACCCUCUAGAGCAGGUCUGUCAAACUCCUUCCAUGGAGGGUCUAACGACAGGUACAGUAUCUCUCUGACCCUCUAGAGCAGGUCUGUCAAACUCCUUCCAUGGAGGGUCUAACGACAGGUACAGUAUCUCUCUGACCCUCUAGAGCAGGUCUGUCAAACUCCUUCCAUGGAGGGUCUGAUGACAGGUACAGUAUCUCUCUGACCCUCUAGAGCAGGUCUGUCAAACUCCUUCCAUGGAGGGUCUAACGACAGGUACAGUAUCUCUCUGACCCUCUAGAGCAGGUCUGUCAAACUCCUUCCAUGGAGGGUCUGAUGACAGGUACAGUAUCUCUCUGACCCUCUAGAGCAGGUCUGUCAAACUCCUUCCAUGGAGGGUCUAACGACAGGUACAGUAUCUCUCUGACCCUCUAGAGCAGGUCUGUCAAACUCCUUCCAUGGAGGGUCUGAUGACAGGUACAGUAUCUCUCUGACCCUCUAGAGCAGGUCUGUCAAACUCCUUCCAUGGAGGGUCUGGCGACAGGUACAGUAUCUCUCUGACCCUCUAGAGCAGGUCUGUCAAACUCCUUCCAUGGAGGGUCUGAUGACAGGUACAGUAUCUCUCUGACCCUCUAGAGCAGGUCUGUCAAACUCCUUCCAUGGAGGGUCUAACGACAGGUACAGUAUCUCUCUGACCCUCUAGAGCAGGUCUGUCAAACUCCUUCCAUGGAGGGUCUAACGACAGGUACAGUAUCUCUCUGACCCUCUAGAGCAGGUCUGUCAAACUCCUUCCAUGGAGGGUCUGGCGACAGGUACAGUAUCUCUCUGACCCUCUAGAGCAGGUCUGUCAAACUCCUUCCAUGGAGGGUCUAACGACAGGUACAGUAUCUCUCUGACCCUCUAGAGCAGGUCUGUCAAACUCCUUCCAUGGAGGGUCUGGCGACAGGUACAGUAUCUCUCUGACCCUCUAGAGCAGGUCUGUCAAACUCCUUCCAUGGAGGGUCUGGCGACAGGUACAGUAUCUCUCUGACCCUCUAGAGCAGGUCUGUCAAACUCCUUCCAUGGAGGGUCUGGCGACAGGUACAGUAUCUCUCUGACCCUCUAGAGCAGGUCUGUCAAACUCCUUCCAUGGAGGGUCUGGCGACAGGUACAGUAUCUCUCUGACCCUCUAGAGCAGGUCUGUCAAACUCCUUCCAUGGAGGGUCUGAUGACAGGUACAGUAUCUCUCUGACCCUCUAGAGCAGGUCUGUCAAACUCCUUCCAUGGAGGGUCUGAUGACAGGUACAGUAUCUCUCUGACCCUCUAGAGCAGGUCUGUCAAACUCCUUCCAUGGAGGGUCUGGCGACAGGUACAGUAUCUCUCUGACCCUCUAGAGCAGGUCUGUCAAACUCCUUCCAUGGAGGGUCUGGCGACAGGUACAGUAUCUCUCUGACCCUCUAGAGCAGGUCUGUCAAACUCCUUCCAUGGAGGGUCUGAUGACAGGUACAGUAUCUCUCUGACCCUCUAGAGCAGGUCUGUCAAACUCCUUCCAUGGAGGGUCUGAUGACAGGUACAGUAUCUCUCUGACCCUCUAGAGCAGGUCUGUCAAACUCCUUCCAUGGAGGGUCUGAUGACAGGUACAGUAUCUCUCUGACCCUCUAGAGCAGGUCUGUCAAACUCCUUCCAUGGAGGGUCUAACGACAGGUACAGUAUCUCUCUGACCCUCUAGAGCAGGUCUGUCAAACUCCUUCCAUGGAGGGUCUGAUGACAGGUACAGUAUCUCUCUGACCCUCUAGAGCAGGUCUGUCAAACUCCUUCCAUGGAGGGUCUGGCGACAGGUACAGUAUCUCUCUGACCCUCUAGAGCAGGUCUGUCAAACUCCUUCCAUGGAGGGUCUGGCGACAGGUACAGUAUCUCUCUGACCCUCUAGAGCAGGUCUGUCAAACUCCUUCCAUGGAGGGUCUGGCGACAGGUACAGUAUCUCUCUGACCCUCUAGAGCAGGUCUGUCAAACUCCUUCCAUGGAGGGUCUGGCGACAGGUACAUUAUCUCUCUGACCCUCUAGAGCAGGUCUGUCAAACUCCUUCCAUGGAGGGUCUAACGACAGGUACAGUAUCUCUCUGACCCUCUAGAGCAGGUCUGUCAAACUCCUUCCAUGGAGGGUCUAACGACAGGUACAGUAUCUCUCUGACCCUCUAGAGCAGGUCUGUCAAACUCCUUCCAUGGAGGGUCUGGCGACAGGUACAUUAUCUCUCUGACCCUCUAGAGCAGGUCUGUCAAACUCCUUCCAUGGAGGGUCUAACGACAGGUACAGUAUCUCUCUGACCCUCUAGAGCAGGUCUGUCAAACUCCUUCCAUGGAGGGUCUAACGACAGGUACAGUAUCUCUCUGACCCUCUAGAGCAGGUCUGUCAAACUCCUUCCAUGGAGGGUCUAACGACAGGUACAUUAUCUCUCUGACCCUCUAGAGCAGGUCUGUCAAACUCCUUCCAUGGAGGGUCUGAUGACAGGUACAGUAUCUCUCUGACCCUCUAGAGCAGGUCUGUCAAACUCCUUCCAUGGAGGGUCUAACGACAGGUACAGUAUCUCUCUGACCCUCUAGAGCAGGUCUGUCAAACUCCUUCCAUGGAGGGUCUAACGACAGGUACAGUAUCUCUCUGACCCUCUAGAGCAGGUCUGUCAAACUCCUUCCAUGGAGGGUCUAACGACAGGUACAUUAUCUCUCUGACCCUCUAGAGCAGGUCUGUCAAACUCCUUCCAUGGAGGGUCUAACGACAGGUACAGUAUCUCUCUGACCCUCUAGAGCAGGUCUGUCAAACUCCUUCCAUGGAGGGUCUGAUGACAGGUACAGUAUCUCUCUGACCCUCUAGAGCAGGUCUGUCAAACUCCUUCCAUGGAGGGUCUGGCGACAGGUACAUUAUCUCUCUGACCCUCUAGAGCAGGUCUGUCAAACUCCUUCCAUGGAGGGUCUGAUGACAGGUACAGUAUCUCUCUGACCCUCUAGAGCAGGUCUGUCAAACUCCUUCCAUGGAGGGUCUGGCGACAGGUACAGUAUCUCUCUGACCCUCUAGAGCAGGUCUGUCAAACUCCUUCCAUGGAGGGUCUAACGACAGGUACAGUAUCUCUCUGACCCUCUAGAGCAGGUCUGUCAAACUCCUUCCAUGGAGGGUCUGAUGACAGGUACAGUAUCUCUCUGACCCUCUAGAGCAGGUCUGUCAAACUCCUUCCAUGGAGGGUCUGGCGACAGGUACAUUAUCUCUCUGACCCUCUAGAGCAGGUCUGUCAAACUCCUUCCAUGGAGGGUCAAAUGACAGGUACAGUAUCUCUCUGACCCUCUAGAGCAGGUCUGUCAAACUCCUUCCAUGGAGGGUCU